rnacentral:rRNA from 1 species
GAUGAACGCUAGCUACAGGCUUAACACAUGCAAGUCGAGGGGCAGCAUGUUGGUUGCUUGCAACCAAUGAUGGCGACCGGCGCACGGGUGAGUAACGCGUACCCAACCUUCCUCCUAGUAGGGCAUAGCCCGGCGAAAGACGGAUUAACACCAUAUGGUCUUUACGGCAGACAUCUAAUGUAAAGCAAAGAUUUAUCGCUAGGGGAUGGGGAUGCGUCCGAUUAGCUUGCAGGCAGGGUAACGGCCCACCGGGGCUGCGAGCGGUCGGGGUUUUGAGAGGAAGGUCCCACACAUUAGAACUGAGACACGGUCCAAACUCCUACGGGAGGCAGCAGUGAGGAAUAUUAGUCAAUGGUCUGACGACUGAACCAGCCAAGUAGCGUGCGAGAUGACGGCCCUAUGGGUUGUAAACCGCUUUUGCGGGGGAAUAAAGUGUCCUACGUGUAGGAUUUUGUAUGUACCCUGAGAAUAAGGACCGGCUAAUUCCGUGCCAGCCGCCGCAGUAACAC